rnacentral:rRNA from 1 species
UUGAAAGGGAAACGAUUGAAGUCAGUCGUACCUGCGGACAAUCAGCCUUUCGGGUGCGAUUAUGUGGAGCGUGAGGAGUUAAACACCCUCAUGCUUGCGUAUUUGUAUUCUGGGGUGUACUUGGACGUGCGGUAGGUUAACAUCAAUUUCGGACGUCAUAAAAUGGCUGGAGGAAUGUAGCUUCGGUCUCGUACUGAAGUGUUAUAGCCUUCGGCAGAUGUGAUGACCGGGAUUGAGGAUUGCAACGGAUACCUUUUGGGCCACCCGCCUGAUCUCUGAAAGUUGCUCUGGUGCCGAAAGCUUGCUUACGGUUAUCAAAGUUGACGUUCAAAAGGUUAGAACGGGUUAAAUUCGUUAAGGAUGUUGACGUA